rnacentral:rRNA from 1 species
AACGUAGGAGACAAACGUUAUCCGGAGUUACUGGGCGUAAAGGGCGUGUAGGUGGUUUUGUAAGUCUGGCGUGAAAUUUUUCGGCUUAACCGGGAAAGGUCGUCGGAUACUGCAGGACUAGAGGACGGUAGAGGCGUGUGGAAUUCCGGGUGUAGUGGUGAAAUGCGUAGAGAUCCGGAGGAACACCAGUGGCGAAGGCGACACGCGGGGCCGUACCUGACACUGAUGCGCGACAGCAUGGGGAGCAAACAGG